GGGGACCAGCCGCACCGGAGCUGGUCCGCCUGCAGCGGGGUGCGCGCGGCAUGGCGGAAGCGGAAGGGAGUUCUCCGCUCCUGUCGCCGCCGCUGCCGCCCCCUCCCGGAAUGGCGGAAGUGGAGGUGCCGACGGCGGCCGAGACGGACAUGAAGCCGUACCACGGCUCUGGCUCGGUCGCCAUGGACGUGGAGCGGAGCCGCUUCCCUUACUGCGUGGUGUGGACGCCCAUCCCGGUGCUAACAUGGUUUUUCCCCAUCAUCGGCCACAUGGGCAUCUGCACAUCCACAGGAGUCAUUCGGGACUUCGCUGGCCCCUAUUUCGUCUCGGAAGACAACAUGGCCUUUGGAAAGCCUGCCAAGUACUGGAAGUUGGACCCUGCACAGGUCUACGCCAGUGGGCCCAACGCGUGGGACACAGCUGUGCACGAUGCCUCUGAGGAGUACAAGCACCGCAUGCACAACCUCUGCUGUGACAACUGCCACUCGCAUGUGGCAUUGGCCCUGAAUUUGAUGCGCUACAAUAACAGCACCAAUUGGAAUAUGGUGACACUCUGCUUCUUCUGCCUGCUCUACGGGAAGUACGUCAGGGUUUUAGAAGUGUCCUGAGAAGAACGUAGCUGUGGUUAUGGAGAGACUGCGGCAGAGCCAGAGUUGAACCAAGGCCCUAGACUCCAGCCUCAGCACUGCUGACACUCACCAGCUUCUCCCACAUCGGGGCCUUUGUGAAGACCUGGCUGCCCUUUGUCCUCCUCCUGGGCAUCAUCCUGACUGUCAUCCUGGUCUUCAACUUGCGGUGAUGGCUGCCAGGUGGCCCCAAGCCCACCAGGCUCCUGAGAAGGCAGCCACUACCCUUUUGGUCCCAGAUUCUCCCUCUUGACCCCUAAGGCAGAGUGGACCUGCUGCGAAGGACCUGGGGUCUGGGCUGCGGGAUGGAAGUGCUGAGGAUGAACAUGGGCCAGGGCUGUCUGCUUGCUGUAUCUGGUGGCUUUUCAGGAGCUCUGUGUCCCCUCCCUUGGGCCUGUGACCCCAGCCUUGAGGCCCCCUCCUUGCCAGCUGUUGGGAUGGCCUCACCUCCCUCUAUUGAGCUCUUCCUGCCACUGCCAGUGCCCAGGGCACACGAGGACCCACCUAUGAGGCCACACCAUGAUGAGAUUGGGAGUGGAAGCCUGCUCUUCAACCGCUGGCUCUGGUCUCCAGGUGGGGCGGGAGCACCAAGAAGUCUUCCUGGUGCCUCCCCAACAUACUCCAGAGCGAUCAAAUGGGGCUGGACAGGCCCCUGCAGCACCCUCUUCCAUCCCAGGGCUCCCAGCGCCUGGAUCAUCUCCUUCUGCAGUUUGGGGCUGGGCUUGCAGGGGAGGGGUGCAGUUUGGCGGAGUCAGUGUGUAGAACAGACAAUAUAGACCACACUUGGCCCCAGAAGGAGUGCAGGCUACCUGCUGGUGAUGGCAACAUUGGGUCCCGAGAAUAGGUAGCCAGUCAGCAGCUUGUGCCACAAGAGAGCCGAGGAGGGGCUGCUCUUCCCACUCCACCACCACUCCCCGUAAGUUGCCAGAGGGGGCUGUGCCGCUGCCUCACCUCCUGCCCCGCGGGCUCCUUUGUGAGGGGCUCCCUGGCAGGACAAUAAAGAAUUUUUGAGUCCA